rnacentral:rRNA from 1 species
GAUGAACGCUGGCGGCGUGCCUAACACAUGCAAGUCGAACGGAAGGACGAUAAGCUUGUGUUUUUAAUGUUAGCGGCGGGCGGGUGAGUGACGCGUGUAUCACCUCCUUAUAUUUCGGGGAUGAUUACGGAAGGCCGGAUAUAAUACCACAGCAUAUUUUGAACCGCUGGGUGCAGAGGAGAUUGACGGCCUUGCUGUCUGUAAUAGCUGGUUCCGCGCUGGAUUAGCUAGUUGGUAGGGUAACGGCCUACCAAGGCAACGAUGCGUAGCCGACCUGAGAGGGUGAUCGGCCACACUGGAACUGAGACACGGUCCAGACUCCUACGGGAGGCAGCAGUAGGGAAUCUUAGGCAAUGGGCGAAAGCCUGACGCAGCAAUGCCGCGUGAGUGAUGAAGGCCUUCGGAUCGUAAAGCCCUGUUAUUGGGGAAGAACAGCUGUGGAAUGAAACGUGGAUAUCUUGACGGUACCGAAUGAAAAAGCACCGGCUAACUACGUG